UUUGCUUGCAAACUAAAGAUGGCGACCGGCGCACGGGUGAGUAACACGUAUCCAACCUGCCGAUAACUCAGGGAUAGCCUUUCGAAAGAAAGAUUAAUACCUGAUGGCAUAGGAUUAUCGCAUGAUAAUCCUAUUAAAGAAUUUCGGUUAUCGAUGGGGAUGCGUUCCAUUAGGCAGUUGGUGAGGUAACGGCUCACCAAACCUUCGAUGGAUAGGGGUUCUGAGAGGAAGGUCCCCCACAUUGGAACUGAGACACGGUCCAAACUCCUACGGGAGGCAGCAGUGAGGAAUAUUGGUCAAUGGACGGGAGUCUGAACCAGCCAAGUAGCGUGAAGGAUGACUGCCCUAUGGGUUGUAAACUUCUUUUAUACGGGAAUAAAGUGAUCCACGUGUGGGUUUUUGUAUGUACCGUAUGAAUAAGGAUCGGCUAACUCCGUGCCAGCAGCCGCGGUAAUACGGAGGAUCCGAGCGUUAUCCGGAUUUAUUGGGUUUAAAGGGAGCGUAGGUGGAUUGUUAAGUCAGUUGUGAAAGUUUGCGGCUCAACCGUAAAAUUGCAGUUGAUACUGGCAGUCUUGAGUACAGUAGAGGUGGGCGGAAUUCGUGGUGUAGCGGUGAAAUGCUUAGAUAUCACGAAGAACUCCGAUUGCGA
rnacentral:rRNA from 1 species